AGUGAACGCUGGCGGUAGGCCUAACACAUGCAAGUCGAACGGCAGCACAGUAAGAGCUUGCUCUUACGGGUGGCGAGUAGCGGACGGGUGAGGAAUACAUCGGAAUCUACUUUUUCGUGGGGGAUAACGUAGGGAAACUUACGCUAAUACCGCAUACGACCUACGGGUGAAAGCAGGGGAUCUUCGGACCUUUCGCGAUUGAAUGAGCCGAUGUCGGAUUAGCUAGUUGGCGGGGUAAGGCCCACCAAGGCGACGAUCCGUAGCUGGUCUGAGAGGAUGAUCAGCCACACUGGAACUGAGACACGGUCCAGACUCCUACGGGAGGCAGCAGUGGGGAAUAUUGGACAAUGGGCGCAAGCCUGAUCCAGCCAUGCCGCGUGGGUGAAGAAGGCCUUCGGGUUGUAAAGCCCUUUUGUUGGGAAAGAAAAGCAGCAGGUUAAUACCCCGCUGUUCUGACGGUACCCAAAGAAUAAGCACCGGCUAACUUCGUG
rnacentral:rRNA from 1 species